UGACUGUGGCAUGCUUUCUAUCUCUCUCUGUCUUUUGUUAUCGCUGUCUGUAAAAAGGACGAAUUGAGUUGUUUUUGAUUGUGGGAGGAGAGAUCUAUUUUAAUUUUGUUGGCACUUGUUAUGAGAGAUAAAAAAACAUAGAGAGAAACAGAGGAACCACGGUGCCUGUUAUAUUCUAAUGUCAGUUUUUUCACUAUUUCCACCCAAUGCCUAUUUUAUUAUAAUUUUCAAAUAUUUUAUCGAUUCCCAUUUUUUUGCUGGUGGUUUUGAUUACACAACAUAUGUCCCUCUCUCUCUCUACUCAUACCAACACCAGCUGUUAUAUCUCGCCAGACGUCGCAGACAGCACGUGGAAGACUGUGUGAGAGAGAGAGAGAGAGAAAGGAUGAGUAACGGCGUGGAAGAGGUACCGGUACCGUAGUCACUGCAAAAUGAUGUGUUCCUUCUGGAUAUAAUACUGAUCCGAUCUGAUCUAGAUACGAAAAUCUAGCACAAUAAGUUUCAUCUCGAAAACUGCAACCUCGGUGAGGUACCGCAAAGGAAAUGAUGAACCAUCGAACCGACACACAACCCUAGUGAAGGCUAAACGUAACAUUACCUGGGUAGUAAACAGCUUCAACCCGUUAAAAUGUCCAGAUAAGGUCAGACGUGGCCAUCAACUGGCUGCAAUGUAUUUUCAGGAAUGUGGGAAAGGAAAGGAGUGGGGAAAAUUCCACACGCUUGGCUUAAGGCAAAAAUAGUGUGUAUCUAAUCAGUAUAUCGUCCUUUCAUCUCAAAAUCAUUGACGGUCAAGUCAAGUAACAACUGAAGACACCAAUAAAUCCUCACAUACUGCCAGGGCACAACAUGCCUAUCGGAAAGGAAAAUCCACAGAAACGACAAUCUCUGCAUCUCAAAGAGUUCUUCUGUACAACUUUCUCGACAUCGAAGAACAACGUCGCACCAGGAGCCAUUAAGGAGGCCCUGCCGGAUCAAUUGUUCAUAUGCAGGACGGUGACAUCAUGGAUGGGAUCGCCCACUCAGUCAAGGCAGAGGUUAGCACAGAUCCCAACGACGAGGAGGUGCUCACUCCAUGCCACUUUUUAAUCGGCCAAGCUUCUAUCUAUGGUAUUUUUCUUUGUUACUUGAGUAAGGAUUUUUGGCGCACGAGCGAAGUGAGUUGGGGCUAGACCCAAAGUGUAAAAAUAUUCACUAACUAUUCAAAUUCUUGUAAAAUUUAAAAUAUAGACAUACAUACC